UACUACGGCCAUGCCACCCUGAACAUGCCUGAUCUCGUCUGAACUCAGAAGCUAAGCAGGGUCGGGCCUGGUUAGUACUUGGAAGGGAGACCACCUAGAAAUACCAGGUGCUGUAGGAG
rnacentral:rRNA from 1 species